CAAAAUGGCAGCUGAUCAAAAAUUCUAUUGCUGGUAGAAAUGAUUUCGGCUUUGAGGAUGAGUUGUAUAUAGAAAUGCACUUCAGCUCUGGUCUCUCCUUAAAGAAAAGUAAAAUCAGUUAAUUAUAUUCAGAGAUGCUUAUGCCACAGAUGCUCAGUGUUUCAGAUGCUCAAGCCACACAGAGAAGAUUCGGGUGCAGGCUUGUGUCUGUGUGUGCUGGUCCCACUGGAGACUCAGGACUGGAUCUUCCAUACCACAAGAUGACCUGGUGGUUCCUCAGCAAGGAUUUCCAGAAGGCCAUCAAUGAGCAGCUACCCCUGUCCUGGCCACGUGCUGUGGCCAAACGUGUUUGCAGUCAGUAAAGCCUUCAAAAGUUCUUGGUUCCAGAAUUUUCUUGAAGAUAUGUAUAUUUCAAAGUAGAGGUAAUGCUGGAGGCCUUAAACUGAGACAGGGCACUGUGUCAGCCUUUCUGGACUAAAACUCUGCUGUGUAAAGGCCUGUCUUUAUGGGAGACCAGACUGAUCCAUUCUUGUCUUGUGUAGUGGUCUUAGAGGGGUGAGCAUUUAUUACAGCUGCCAUUUUGUUAAUUUACAGGUACAUUGAUUCUUCUUGUAAUCUUAGUAAUUUUCUCUCACAAGAUUAUUGUUUUAUGUAUGAUUAUGUGACAUGUCCACCCCCCAUCCCCCAACACACACACCUUUUCUUUCCGAGUCUGGAGACUUGCUAAUUGUUUGGUCCUUAUGAAUAUGUAAGAAGCCUUUUCUUCCUUAUCAUCACCUUACCAGCAUCCCAUACCAAAUGAGCGUAGACCUCAGGCACGUGUUUUGCAUGAAAGCAAUACUAAUGUUAUUCAGGUUUUCUUGGACAAUGGGGUCCUGCAGGAUCAUGACAUUUUGCAAAGAAGAUGCUCCAUGCAUAGCAUUCCUCAGUUUGUAAGUGUCAUUACAAAACUGUUUUAGGUGUUUGACAUCUUCAGUGUUUGGGGUUGAAAAAAUAUGGAUAGCUAUACUUAGAAUAGUGAAUGCGAAGAAAAUAACAGAUGGCACUGAAUUCUUUACAUGCAGACAGUGUUUUACUGGUUACCGUCCACCGUGUUUUACAGGUUAUAUGUAGUCUUCAUUCCUAUGUUAUCAUUUUGGGGCUGAUGAAAUGAUGACAGAAAACAUCUGGUGUGUGUCCAUCACCUUGGUUUUGUUUCUCAUCUGUGCCAUAAGAACCAACUAUGAAAACACCUUAAUUUCUGCAGAUAUGAGAAAGAUGAGUUCCACUGACUGUAUAGAUAGAAAUAAGUCAAAUAUAAGUGUUUAAGUUGAUGCAGCAUAUUCCAGCUUCGUGGAUAAAGUAGACUGUACUGGCCUAAGGUUUCUAUCUUAAUGCAAGACUGAGAUCAAAUUUCCUCUUGUGGAACCCAUUCUGUUGGUGCUCAAGAUUACUGCUGCUAGACUGCUCUUAUUGCUUGUCUUGCAGCAUCGCUACUGGCCUAACAGAUCUUGUGAAUGGUAUCAAGUUCAAAUGAGUCUAAAGUCUAGAAGCAUUUGAAUGAAUGGUUUGUCUCACUGUCUUUCUGCUGUUUCUUAAAUUUUUGCAAUGAUUUUCUGUUAAACUUAUUAAGAUAGGCUACACAUUUGAUAGCAUAACAAGUCAUCUCCUUUACACUGGCAUACAGAUGUUCUUAUUUUAUACAAUGGCAUCAAGUUCUUGUUUUUCUUGCAUAGGUGAGUAGAUGAAGAUUCUAACUCCCUCACAUAUGUUCCCUUGAGUUUUUAUUGAAAUUACUUUAAUUGAUUUAACUCAUUCAGUGCUUUAAUAUUUGCCUACUAAUAAUUUUUAUUAUAUCAGUAGACUGACACCAUAAUCUUUUCCAUAACUCUGCGAGCCUCCAAGAGUUUGGAUGUAGCUAUACACACGUUGCUACCAAAGACACUUCAAAAUGCUAUCUUUUUUACUAUUUUAUCAUUUUGAUCAUCCGCCAGGAGUGUUUGAUAGGAUAAGAUUUUUUUUCAGUGUAAUAUCAAAAUCACUAAGUAGAUGAUAUGUGCUUAUUUCAGAGAUAAAAUUUUGAGAACUUUCUACUCUUUUAGUAUUAGACAUGCAGCGCAACUGCAGAUAUGGACAAUUUGUAUUGCAGACCUUAUAGCACUGUUGGAGAAAUGUGAGCCAACAAUAAUUCGUCUUUGUCACCUGAUCAUAGG